CCUACGGGAGGCAGCAGUGGGGAAUAUUGCACAAUGGGCGGAAGCCUGAUGCAGCGACGCCGCGUGAGGGAUGACGGCCUUCGGGUUGUAAACCUCUUUCAGCAGGGACGAAGCGUAAGUGACGGUACCUGCAGAAGAAGCACCGGCUAACUACGUGCCAGCAGCCGCGGUAAUACGUAGGGUGCGAGCGUUGUCCGGAAUUACUGGGCGUAAAGGGCUCGUAGGUGGUUUGUCGCGUCGUCUGUGAAAUUCCGGGGCUUAACUCCGGGCGUGCAGGCGAUACGGGCAUAACUUGAGUACUGUAGGGGUAACUGGAAUUCCUGGUGUAGCGGUGAAAUGCGCAGAUAUCAGGAGGAACACCGAUGGCGAAGGCAGGUUACUGGGCAGUUACUGACGCUGAGGAGCGAAAGCAUGGGUAGCGAACAGGAUUAGAUACCCUGGUAGUCCAUGCCGUAAACGGUGGGCGCUAGGUGUGAGGGUCUUUUCACGACUUUCGUGCCGUAGCUAACGCAUUAAGCGCCCCGCCUGGGGAGUACGGCCGCAAGGCUAAAACUCAAAGGAAUUGACGGGGGCCCGCACAAGCGGCGGAGCAUGUGGAUUAAUUCGAUGCAACGCGAAGAACCUUACCUGGGCUUGACAUACACCGGAUCGGGCUAGAGAUAGUCUUUCCCUUUGUGGCUGGUGUACAGGUGGUGCAUGGUUGUCGUCAGCUCGUGUCGUGAGAUGUUGGGUUAAGUCCCGCAACGAGCGCAACCC
rnacentral:rRNA from 1 species